GAUGAAGAACGCAGCGAAAUGCGAUAACUAAUGUGAAUUGCAGAAUUCAGUGAAUCAUCGAGUCUUUGAACGCACAUUGCGCCCCCUGGUAUUCCGGGGGGCAUGCCUGUCCGAGCGUCAUUGCUGCCCUCAAGCACGGCUUGUGUGUUGGGCUCCGUCCCCCCGGGGACGGGCCCGAAAGGCAGCGGCGGCACCGAGUCCGGUCCUCGAGCGUAUGGGGCUUUGUCACCCGCUCUGUAGGCCCGGCCGGCGCCAGCCGACAACCCAUCAUCCUUUUCGGGUUGACCUCGGAUCAGGUAGGGAUACCCGCUGAACUUAAGCAUAUCAAUAAGCGGAGGA
rnacentral:misc_RNA from 1 species